GCCUGCACUUAUUUUACCACAGGGUUAGUUGCCUGCCCUGAAGACAGAAACCAACCUGCUAAAGAAAUGUGAACAAGUGGAGACGUGCUAUUUGGAGGUUAUUCUCCUAGUUGAUCAACAUCCAGGAGAUUCCCAGAGAUCUUUUCAGCCUCAUCUUUAAAGGCAGAGAGACUGACAGAGCUCAUAUUUGCUGAUUCACUCUCCAAAUGGCUGCAAUGGCCAGGACUGGGCUGGGCUGAAGCCAGGAGUUGGGAACUCAAUCCAUGUCUCACAUGUGGGUGGCAGGAACUCAAUCAAUUGAUCUUCCAAUGACUUCAUCAUGAAAAGGAGGAAGCCCAAACUGGAGUGAGUUAAAAAUUUUGUCUCCAACAGAGGAUUGUGGCUCAGCCCUGAGUUGAGCUUUUCAUCUUCCUCUCUGGCAGUAUACCAGUAUACCAAAGAAGAUGCUUACAGUGAUGAAUUUCUCUAGAUUUCAGGAGCACAAUGAAGAAGAACAACAAAAAGUUGACUGAUGAACAAGAUGCCCUCUGUGUCCCACAGUCUCAAGAUCCAGGAUAUCUUCAAAAUAUGUUGGACAAAGGAGAAUAUGACCCAUUUGUAUCUCCUCCCAUGUUAGAGAGCAAUUUUAUUCAGGUCAACAGAAGAGGUGAAUCCAUUUACCUUCACAACCGAGCCAACUGGGUGACCGUAGGCAUCUGUUCUUCCAGUUCCACCCAGAAGACUCCCAAUGUGAUGCUGCUGGCACAUCUGACACCUGCUGCCCAAAAAGAUACAGAAGAUACAGAACCCCUGUUUGAAAGUCUCCUGACAUGUCCUUCCACAGAGAAACUGGUGCUCACAAGGUUUCUCCCUCUGCAGUUUGUGACUCUUUCUGUGCAUGAUGCUGAGAACAUGCGUCUAAAAGUAAAGCUGGUGAGUGGUCGAGCCUACUACCUACAGCUCUGUGCCCCUGCAGACAAACAGGACACCUUAUUUUCUCAGUGGAUGGACCUCAUCUCCCUCUUGAAUCAGGAGAAAGCCAAAGCUUCCAAGGUGUCAGAGGUCUCAAGCCUCUCAGAAAUCACUAACAGCACAGAAAUCACAGAAUCCAUGGACAUCAUGGACAUUACAGCAUUCUCAGCUGUAUCAAGCCCACACAUGUACUCAUAUACAGAUGCCAUACAAGUCACGGAGAGCAUAGAUUUCUCAGAAUUCACAGAUGUCACCGACGUCACCGAUGUCACAGAUGUUCCAGAAAAUGUGAUCCCAGAAGUCCCAGAUAUAAGAAUUGUCACAGAAGUCACAGAAGUCACUGACAACUUUGAUGUCACAAACUUCUCAGGGGUCACAGUGGUCUUUGAAAAUGAUGAUAUAAUCAAGGCCAAGCAAGAGGAAAAGGAAAAAACAGAAAAUGUUCUGAAGCCGGGGUGUCUACGAGAUACAAAAAGUAGGAAUGAAUUCAAAGAAUCCUCAAAACGAGUCACCAUCUCAAACAUAACACUGACUUUCCAAGGUGAAAGAUGUUUUCAAACUACUUUGACUCCACUAGAAAGUGAAGCAAAUACAUCCAAAGAAGUGUAUGAUAAAACCUCUUCCAAAAAGAUGACUAAUUUUAAAAGCAGGGCUCUCAAGUUUGUUGAAUCCAGGAACGUGAAAACUGAUUCAGACACUUCAGGCUUGUAUAGUUUUGCAGUUUUCCCCCUGAUUAGCAUUUCUUUACCCUUUUUCACUCUCCUCUAAAUCAUUUCCCUUUUCACACACUCUUAUCCUUAACACUUUUUACCUCCAAGAAAAGCAAAGGUUAGUCUAAUUUUAAUCCCCAAUUCCUUUUAACUUGAUCUGAGUGAAGAAUAAAAACGAAUCGGUAAUUCCACUAUCUAUUCUAGUCAGAAAGCCAGAAUAACAACUGCUUCCCCCAGCAGUAAAUUAAAUUGCUGGUACUAUUAAGCUCAUCUGAUUCACAUUCACCCAGCUCUGAGCCAACGCUAGUCGGGGACCAUGUUCUCAAUUCGCCUCUCAAACAUCUGAGCAGUUUGAGAGAAUUACACAGACUUGGGGUAAAGUGGCACUUCAAAUGUUCUGUUUUUAUGACAAGGCUUAUUAUGUACAAGGCAGGGUACAGGUUAAACUUGUCUCUCGAGAUCUGAGUCCAUCUCUCUCCUUUCUUGACUUAAUUUUUUAUUUUUCUAGGCUUUCUCUCCUAACUUUUCUGAUUUGCUGUGAUCCCAAAAAUAGGCUUUCUAUAAUCCUACAGUACUUUUUUCCCAGAUGGAAAGAAAUUAGACCCAAGAUAGAGAUUCAAGAAAUGAGAAGGGAAAGUCACUUAUGAAACACUGGGAGUUUCCAUUCCAUUCCCUGCCCACCAUCUUUGUUUUCCACUUAUGAAAUAUUACAAAUCAAAUUCCUUAGAAUCCUAAGCAGCCAGAUUCAUUCCCUGUUGUAAAACCCAGGCUAGUAAGAAAAAGGGAGGGAAGCCCCUAAAAGGGAAUGUGUUUAUGAAAUCUAACAAUGAAUUCCAUGGGAAACAAUAACAACAACUGUUACAAGGUGGUUAGAACAUGAUUUGAAGACCCAAAUUAAGUUCUCUCUCCCUCUGUGCUUUUUUUCUCUCCUGCUUUUGGCUUUUUCUCUUUCUCACUUCCUUUCUAACCAUCUCUCUUCCACUUCUCUCCAUUCUUUUUCUUUUGUUCCCUCUGGCUCUCUCCCUUCAUAUAAAAUCUUCUAAUUUCCUCAAUCAUGUACCUAUCUGUCUCUCCCUUUCUAAUCUGUCUCCCCCCAUUCUCAGGGGGAUGGAUAUGAGAAAAGAAAGCAAAGUAAAACAGAAAAAGACAAAGUCAAUGGAAAACCAUGAAAGACAACUUAAAGAUAAAUACAAACUACUAAACUAAAAAGAAGCACAGCUCAGGAAAACACAAUGCAAGAGAACAAAGCAGUGUCUUCCAUGGGGCAGAA